rnacentral:lncRNA from 1 species
AUGAGGAGUUCAGGAUCGAACUCAGGUCUUGGAUUCAUUUUUGGCUGUGCAUAUUUUUCCCUAGAGGCAUUUAUGGCGGGAAAUAAGAAGUCACGAAACACAGCUGAUUUGAAGAGAGAGGCAGCUGACUUAGGAAGAAGGCAGAAGAAUUUUCUGCUGGUAGGCAAGACAGUGGAAAUUAUCUGAAUGUAACAAUAAGAUAAAAGAUGGCACACAUGCAAGAACAGAUUUCUUAAAAACCACCAGCUAAAGUUUGUGUUGUUUCAUUCUCUUAUUCUCCAAGACAGCCAUAUUUUACCAUGUUAUACAUAAAUAAAAAUGACUUCCAGGCUUAUUUGAUUGUAGACUGAAUUACUCUGUCACAGGGUGACAAGCAAUGACAAAGAGGUUCCCCAUAAUGAAAGUCUAGCAGACCCCAUAUUCUAACAAAAGGUGGUACAGAAAAACCAGGCAGAUUUUCCCUUCACUCAUACUCUCUUACAUAUGAGCUAUAUAGUACUGUCAAUCUCUGUCAUGUCAAUAGGUCACUUGCAAGGUCUUAUAUUUGGCAGGGCAACAUAAGUUUCACAGUAAUUUUUCUGACUAGCCACCCAAAGCGUCUAUAGAAAGAUUUGAAAGAUCAAUUAAAUUACAGGAAAGGCAUAACAUAAAUGUUGCC